rfam:Triticum aestivum genome assembly, contig: Triticum_aestivum_CS42_TGACv1_scaffold_569325_7AS
CAGGUACUCCCUCCGUCCGAAAAAACUUAUCCCAAGCUUGUUUUUCAAAUGGAUGUAUCUAGUACUAACUUGGUGCUAGAUACAUCCAUUUGAGGAACAAGCUUUCUCGUAUGGAAGGAGUAGUGU